CAUACCCGGAAGCUCAUCCACAACAUUGAUAAGACAUUUCCUGUACACCAGGAAACGCAAACUUCAUACACAGCCAUCACCUUGAGACGUCUCAAGACACGGGAAGUGUAUUCAAGAUUAAAAAACGCUUCUAAAGAUUAUUUUCCUGCUGAGAGAAACAGUUCAAAUGAAGAUUCUGCAUUAUUCGUGUGACCGCAUCAUGGAGAAAAAAAAUCCUCCCACUGGCAGCAUUAAGCAAAAACCUACAUUACUAAAUGUCGAGUUUCUGUAAUUGUG